rnacentral:rRNA from 1 species
AUACGUAGGGGGCGAGCGUUGUCCGGAAUGAUUGGGCGUAAAGGGCGCGUAGGCGGCCCGGUAAGUCUGGAGUGAAAGUCCUGUUUUUAAGCUGGGAAUUGCUUUGGAUACUGUCGGGCUUGAGUGCAGGAGAGGUAAGUGGAAUUCCCAGUGUAGCGGUGAAAUGCGUAGAGAUUGGGAGGAACACCAGUGGCGAAGGCGACUUACUGGACUGUAACUGACGCUGAGGCGCGAAAGUGUGGGGAGCAAACAGGAUUAGAUACCCUGGUAGUCCACACUGUAAACGAUGAAUGCUAGGUGUAGGGGGUAUCGACCCCUUCUGUGCCGCAGUCAACACAAUAAGCAUUCCGCCUGGGGAGUACGGCCGCAAGGUUGAAACUCAAAUGAAUUGACGGG